rnacentral:lncRNA from 1 species
CUCCCAGGGGAAGCCAGGCUCUCCCUCCACUGGCGUUUGUAUCACGGAUCUCACCUUCUUCAAGUUCUUUGUUUAAUGCCUGUUCUUGCUGUUCGACUCUAAGUGCACAGGGACUCAGUCAGUGUCUAAUUGCCCUAGAUCAAGGCAAGCAGGGCCCAGGCUUUGACCCUGGAUCUGGCUAUGGUUACUUCUGGCCCACACCCCGUCCCACAGGGUAAGGGGCCAAGAGUAGGUGCCCACCCAGAGCCCAGACCACCCCGGCUUGUAGAGCACACUCUGGAUGCUGGAAUGGCCUGCUCCAAAGGCCUGAGCCUGCUCCGGGGCCUGUGUGGCUCCCUUCCUGUGACCCAUUCUCCUGAGGGUGGACUCCACUAUGCUGCUAGGCCUGGAGGUGGCCAUGGAGCCUAUGUUUGGGGGACAUGGACAGAGCUUGGAUGUGUGGGCUGCAGUGGCCACACACUGGGCCCAGUUGGGAAGAGAAAGAGGACAGAGUGUAGCUGGGGCCUUCCUGAUACUCUUACUGGGGGUAUGCAAAACUGAGUCUCAUUUCCAGUUGUAUCCCUAGUGCCUCACUUGGGGCCUCGUGCCUGGUGCCUGGCUCACCCGCUCCUGGGUUCUCCCCAGCCUUCUCUGCUUCAAGCCUGCACCCCCCUUAGAAAGCAAGCAAGAGAAGGGCUGGGAAGAAUGCAAACGUGUUAUUUCCUGGCUUGUGUCUUAGUCCAUUUAAACUGCUCUAACAAAAUAGCUGAGACUAGGUAAUUUAUAAAGAACAGAAAUGUAUUGCUCACAGUUCUGGAGGCUGGGAAGUCCACGAUCAUGGUGUUGACAUCUGGCGAGGGCCUUCCUGCUGUGUCCUCAUGUGGCAGAAGAGCGGUAGAGAGGGAACCCACACUCCUGCAAACUCUUUUAUAACAGCAUCACUCUAUUCAUGAGGGUGGAGCCCUCAUGACCUAAACAGCUCCCAAAAGGCCCCGUCUUCCAGUGCUGUUGCAUUGGGGAUAAGUUUUCAACACAUGAAUUUUGGGAGGGGACGAAAACCUUCAAUCCAUACCCCUGUGCAUGUUCCUCAUUUACUGAGGGCCUGCUGCUGAAUCCAGACCUUUCUUAAGUUUCCACGUUUAAUCCUCAUGGCAUCCAGCGGUAGGUAGUGCGUUCUCUGCCCUGUGAUGCUCAGAGGAGUCAGGUGACUCAGGCAAGGCCACACAGCCAGAAGAACCCCCUUGCUUUUUUGACUCCAAAGUCAGUGCUCACAGGUUGGGGGAACUCAUUUCUUAGCAAAGAUCAUGUGGAUGGGUGCACCUGCUGAUGGGAGUGGUGAAGGGGUGAUGCAAGAAGAGGGCAUGGCUGUGCUGUGAAGCUUGUCCUGAAGAGGGCAAGGACAGGUCUCAGGUCAGAUAGGACGAGAGCCACCAGGUGGUCAGCAGUGCUGAGGCACAACUUGGGAGCCCUUCAGGUCCCCAUAAGCACCAUCAGACCUCUCAGAGCCUCCCCAGAUAAACACUAGUCAAGUUAAAAAAUGGUCUGACUAUGCCAUGCAGUGUCAGUUUCAAUACUCUGGCUCCCUUCCAACCAGGUGGCUGCCCCCAAACUCAGGACUCACCACUGGGUGGGGCAGAGAUCACACAGCCCAGCAGCCCUGGGGAAAGGGGUGAGGCCUCAGUGUUCCCUCAGGAGAGGGCUGAGUCCCUCAGUGUCUUCUCAGGAAGGGGAUGGAGCCCUCAGUGUCCCUCGGGAAGGGGAUGAAGCUCUCAGUGUCCGCAGGAAGGGGAUGGAGCCCUCAGUGUCUUCUCAGAAGGGGAUGGAGCCCUCAGUAUCCCUCGGGAAGGGGAUGAAGUCCUCAGUGUCCCCUCGGGAAUGGGAUGAAGCCCUCAGUUUCCCCUCAGGAAUGGGAUGAAGCCCUCAGUGUCCCCUCAGGAAAGGAAUGAAGCCCUCAGUGUCCCCUCAGAAAGUGGAUGAAGCUCUCAGUGUCCCCUCAAGAAGAGGAUGGAGCCCUCACUGUCCCCAGGUAGGGGAUGAAGCCCUCAGUAUCCCCUCAGGAACGGGAUAAAGCCCUCAGCAUCCCCUCAGGAAGGGGAUGAAGCUCUCAGUGUCCCCAGGAAGGGGAUGGAGCCCUCAGUGUCUUCUCAGGAAGGGGAUGGAGCCCUCAGUGUCCCCUCAGGAAGGGGAUGAAGCUCUCAGUAUCCCCUCAGAACAAAGGUGAACCUCUGUGUCCCCUCAGGGAAUGGUGGCCCUCCUGACAGCACCCUCGGUCAGUCAGUGUUGAGUCCCAUGCCGGCACUGCGCUAGUUUCAUUGUCAGAGCAGCCCCCGGGGUGGCUACAGCUGUCAUCCUCACGCUGCCGCGUCACUGCGUCAUGAGUAACGUCCAGUAACUGCGGUUCAGAGAGGUGGAGCCACUGCCUGAGGUCAGGAAGCUGCAGGUAGCAGGGGAGCGGGUUGGCCCAGGCCUCUCUGGCUGCCAAGGCAGGAGCGGUCCCCGUGUGCCACCUGGGUGUUGCUGGACCUUGGACAGUGUGGCCAGAGGAUCCGGAAGGGGUGAGGAAACCGGGGCGUGGAGAGGCUGUGUUACUUGCUCAAGGUCACAUUACUAGCAAGUUCCAGAUCAAGAUGCAUCCCCAGGCAGUCUGGCUCCAGACUCCGUGCAUUUACCUGCAGAACCCCUCUCCAGCCAGCAUCUGACCUGUGGCCCAGGAGUGUGCACCCUCUGGCAGGUGAGGGCUUGGAGCAGAGACCUGGCCAUUACAGGAAGCAGCCUGGAGCUAUGGACAGAACGGAGAGAGUGGGGGCCAGCGGCGCUGCUGCCUUCAGACACCGGUUGAUGAACCGUCCCAUGUGGUCCUGCCCAGGGAGUGGAGCCCAGCGCACAAGGCCUGGCAGGUUCAGACUUGGGUUUUCACCAAAUGCCCUACUGGCCCUGGGGCGCUGGCUUGGCCGAUCAAGAUAUUGCAGAUAAACAGGCCUCACCUGGUGGUGGGGCUGUUGCAUG